AGCACCCUUUUAAAAAAAAAUCACAAUAUAAUAAUACACUAAUUAGACUCAAGGGCAGAACUACUUAAAUUAGAAUGCAUGCACCCUCAUUAAAGUCUUUUAUCUCGUUUCUCGAUUUUCGCGUAUUUUCAAUUAUUCGGCGGCCGCCCAAGGCGUCGCGUGUGACGCCGGUCGGUCGCUUUUGCCCAAAAUUUCUCUGUUGGCUUCUCGCAUUUUCCAUCUUGAUAUCGAAAUAAAAUCCCCAAAAUUAUAAAAGUGCAUAAUUAAAUUAUCGCAACCAUUUCCCCUCGAAAAUAUAUUUAUUCAGGAUAAAAUUAUUCAUCCUCCGAAAUAUUCUGGGAUUAAUUAAAUAAUUCUCAACAAUUAAAUUAUCGGUCCAAGGAUUAAUUUAAUUUGACCCAAGAUAAUUGUUAUCUUAGCCCACCUUAUUUCUCCAAUUUAUUUAGCGAGGCCCUAAAAGAAAUAGCCCAAUAUACUUAAUUAUUUCCCCACCCUUAUUUCUCCUCAAUCAACUAACAAGGCCCAAUUAUUACUUAGGCCCAAAGAUUUAUUUAAUUGGCUCACAACCAAAUCACCCAUCUUAUAUCUCCAUUUAAAAAUUUAAAUGGCCCAUCCUUAUUUUUCCACCAUUAAAAGAAAGGGAGCCCAACAAAAUAAAAGGAGGCCCAAACACACUCCCUUCUCCACCAUCGGUAAUCCUCCCUUUCUCAUUCCACAUAACAAAUUGUAAGAACCCCCAAAUUGAAGAAAGCCCUCAAAUCCGUCGAUUUCCCCAAACAAAAUUCUCUCCCCCGUCGACUACACACCGUCGCCGCUACUCCAAAUUGCCGAUUCCCGAAGACCAGAUUUGCCACUGGAGUACCACGCCUCGCUGCUCCGUCCACUGCUCAAACACGACGUCCUUGCGUCGGUUUAAUACCGUCGCUGCUUUCUCCCAAAUCUCACUCCUCCGCCACCGCCGGAAGAGCUGCUGCUGUCGCCGCCGGGUCAGGCUGCUGCUGUCGCCGCCGCCGCUCCUCGUGCUGUUGGAGCAGUUUCCCGGCGCCACUCCAGCCUCGGCCUCCGCCUCCUCGCCGAACUCCCGGAAGGUCGUGAAAUUAGUGACGAAUCGGGGUGUGUGGCUGCCACGACGGUGUGCCGAAACUCAGUAUCCGGAAUUCCGGCAGAUUCGUAUUCUUGAGAUAAGUUGUUAACUUGUGCUUACUAUAGGUGUAGAACUUGGUUUCUCUAUUUUAUGAACUCGAUGAAU